UCACCCCCCCGACUGCCACAUCUUGCUUUAGUUUGUUGGGAGCAUGGUAACCCAUCGGAAUGCGCCACAAUUUGAUAAAACAUGCUCCAAGUAGAUGCAAGUCAGUUUGGUGCAGGUGCUGUUUUGCUGCAGGAGGAUGGUCAGGGAAUGGCGAGACCAGUUGGCUUCUUUUUAAAAAACAUUUAGCUGUUAUCAGCUGAAUUAUUCAGUAAUGGAGAAAGCGCUGGCACUUUGUGCUUUUGCAGCAUUUUGCAUUUGUUGUGUACACGGAUCACAAUAUAUUCCAUUGUAAUGACCUGAAAAAUAUGUCACUUAUGUUGUAUUUUUUCUGGAAUAUGUGGGUUACUGUAUUUUUUUGGGCUUGCUAAAGUGCUAAAUUCAUAUGUAAUCUAAGUUAAGAUGUAAGAGUUACUGAAGUGGCAAAUGUCUAUUGGUUGAAGAUGCAAUAGGAUUUAGCAUUUAAUUAUCCUCGCUCUGUUCAGAUGUGUCCAGGUAAUUUAACAGUUAAGUUGUGUUUUCCUUAAAAUGUUUUAAGCAUGGUUUACUACAUAAGAUAAGCUCACUAAUCAUUUUGUUAAUGUUAGUGAUUUAGUGACUAAUAAAGUAUCCUGUUGAACUACGGGUAAUCACGCGAGAAGGGAGAACAGGGGGAACUGAGGGAAGAGUUGCACGAGCACGAAAGCUAGUCGGCAGCUAACAGUGCUUUUACGGCACUUAACGUUUUAAGUUGGACUAUUCAUGGUAUCGGACACUGCUCUCGCCGUCGUAGGAGUUUGUGACUGUGGGGCUACCACUGGAGGUGUGUGUAUUUGCACUGGGAAGUGAGCUUAGACCUGUUAGUUUCUGUGGCUAAGUUAGCUCGUGGCUUCGCGGGACUGUGACACCGUCGUGGGAGGGACCGCAGACACACCGUUCGCCUGCUGGACGAGAGGAGACCACAUCGGAACGCUGGUGUUUUCCUCCACGGAGGGCUGUGUUGCUGGUGGUGACGGACGAACGAAGCUGUGUAACCCUCGCUGUGCU